AUUGAACGCUGGCGGCAGGCCUAACACAUGCAAGUCGAGCGGAUGAAGGGAGCUUGCUCCUGGAUUCAGCGGCGGACGGGUGAGUAAUGCCUAGGAAUCUGCCUGGUAGUGGGGGAUAACGUCCGGAAACGGGCGCUAAUACCGCAUACGUCCUGAGGGAGAAAGUGGGGGAUCUUCGGACCUCACGCUAUCAGAUGAGCCUAGGUCGGAUUAGCUAGUUGGUGGGGUAAAGGCCUACCAAGGCGACGAUCCGUAACUGGUCUGAGAGGAUGAUCAGUCACACUGGAACUGAGACACGGUCCAGACUCCUACGGGAGGCAGCAGUGGGGAAUAUUGGACAAUGGGCGAAAGCCUGAUCCAGCCAUGCCGCGUGUGUGAAGAAGGUCUUCGGAUUGUAAAGCACUUUAAGUUGGGAGGAAGGGCGGUAAGUUAAUACCUUGCUGUUUUGACGUUACCAACAGAGUAAGCACCGGCUAACUUCGUG
rnacentral:rRNA from 1 species